CCAGGAAGUACGAAUCUGUUUUUUAUAUAGACCCUGGAGUUUAUUAAAUGAUUGAUUAACAUUGGGUGUAGCCAUACUGGAGUUAAGUUCUGUAUUUGAGAAAACAUUAUCUGCGUCUUUGCACCAAAUACUACUACCCAACCUAUUAGAUAAAAAACCUGCCAUAGUGUAAAUAUGAAUAGUAAAAAUGUAUGUUAUAUGAUAUAGUGUAGUAUAAUAUUGCUCCGG